CAGUAGCCGCGGUAAUACGAAGGGGGCUAGCGUUGUUCGGAUUUACUGGGCGUAAAGGGCGCGUAGGCGGGCGAAUAAGUCAGGGGUGAAAUCCCAAGGCUCAACCUUGGAACUGCCUUUGAUACUGUUUGUCUUGAGUUCGAGAGAGGUAAGUGGAACUGCGAGUGUGGAGGUGAAAUUCGUAGAUAUUCGCAAGAACACCAGUGGCGAAGGCGGCUUACUGGCUCGAAACUGACGCUGAGGCGCGAAAGCGUGGGGAGCAAACAGGAUUAGAUACCCCUGUAGUCCCUGUCUCUUAUAC
rnacentral:rRNA from 1 species